UUAACGCGAAGAACCUUACCAGGUCUUGACAUCCUCUGACAACCCUAGAGAUAGGGCUUUCCCCUUCGGGGGACAGAGUGACAGGUGGUGCAUGGUUGUCGUCAGCUCGUGUCGUGAGAUGUUGGGUUAAGUCCCGCAACGAGCGCAACCCUUGAUCUUAGUUGCCAGCAUUCAGUUGGGCACUCUAAGGUGACUGCCGGUGACAAACCGGAGGAAGGUGGGGAUGACGUCAAAUCAUCAUGCCCCUUAUGACCUGGGCUACACACGUGCUACAAUGGAUGGUACAAAGGGCUGCAAACCUGCGAAGGUAAGCGAAUCCCAUAAAGCCAUUCUCAGUUCGGAUUGCAGGCUGCAACUCGCCUGCAUGAAGCCGGAAUCGCUAGUAAUCGCGGAUCAGCAUGCCGCGGAA
rnacentral:rRNA from 2 species